AUGUGCCGUCACUGAGUUGAUUUUUUUUAGCGUGCAUUUUUUCGCAUUGUUGUAAACAAAUUAAGUAAAUUUUUGUCUCCGAUACUUUUGCUCCGGUUUGUCGUCACCGUCGUCGCAGAAAAGUCGGAGGAAAUAGGAAAUCUUUUACGACCGGGAUUUUAUUACAACGGAACGCAGAGAACCCCACAACCUGGUAAGUGUGGGGCCGCAAGAAAAACAGAAACCCAAGGCGCGUUCGUCCUACAGCCAUGGAAUCAUCGUUCUUCUGCUGCUAAUCACAAUUACCAGACCAACAAAACAGACCUCCAGCAAUCAACCCACACGCAAAAAUUGAGCACCGCCCAAAAAGCAUUCAAGAGAUGAACCACUAGGAGUGGGUGCAAUAAUGAAUACUGUCCGAAGCUCUGAAGUUCUCUGACUUGCUGAAUAGUACCGGGCAGUUGCUGACUUACAUGGAAUCCACCCGAGAAACGAUGAGAUCUACAAUCCUGAUGGCUGCGGACUGCGUGCAAUGCCCCAUUUAUACUGCUUCCCGACUAAAAACGGGUGAACCAACGUGCGGAGUUCGAUUUUUGACCAACUUCGCCACGUCGCGAGUCACUUCGCUGUGGUGCGCACACUCAAGAUAAUCUUUCCAUUCGAUUCAUGUGCCAACCCAUAUGGAUUUUUGCAAUGGGGGUAUGCACAUACAUAGUAUGUGCGAAACCAAUGAUUCAUCGCCAAUCUCUAUCUUCAUUGAAUUCAUUAUUACUUCAUAUUUUAUCCAUAAUUGAAACACAUACUUUUCAUUGCUGGCUUCAAUGGAAUAUAUUGGUCACCUAUAUCGACUUUUUUAUUAGCAUUAAAAGCAAGAAUUUCAACUUUUCGUUCCUUGGAUCAGAAAUAUUUUUAUCGGAAUCAAACUCACACUCGAUUCCAAUGAAUUAAGAUCCAAGAAACAAUCAAUAAUGAACACUUAUAAUGAGCAAACGAAAUGAAAGUUUAUUUAUACAAACUUAUUACUCAAAGACAUGUUAUCACGCGGAAAUUACAUCUGCAUAUUACCAUUCUUGAUGGAACUUGUCUUCGAUUUUGUUUAUAGCUUGCAACAUUUGGUCCCGCUGCCAUUCGGGAACUCUCUGUUUCAUGAUUCCCGCAUCUGAACAAAUGUAAAUAAGUGUUAUAAAACCACUAAAAUAGUUUUUUCUUUUCUAAAUACCUGUAUAUUCAAUCAAGAUAUCGCCGAAAUCCUUCUAUUUGAGUACACCGAGGAGAUCACAAUCGCGGAAACAUUUUUCGGACGCCAUGUUUGUUUACACAAGGUGUUCCCGAAGGGUAUGAACUUUGCACAUACCUUGAAUGUUCUUCAAAUGAUAUAGAUGUGUUACAAAAAUAUAUGGUAUUAAUUACGAGCAUAAUGAAUAUGAGGUACACAUACAACUUAUGAGAAUGAAAAUUCAACCAAUGUAUGUGCAAAUGCACCUUUAUUUAAAGGGGCUGUUUUCUUGAGUGCAUAUAUGUCCUCCACCGUGUGCAUUAUGCGAAUUAAGCACUAUUGAGAAUCGAGUUGCGACGCGGCGAAGUUGGUCAAAAAUCAAACUUCGCACGUUGGUUAACCCAUUUUUCAAUGCGAAGCAGUAUAUAUGGGGCAUUGCAUUUGUGGCGACAAACUUAAAAGAAUUCUGCAAGUAAAGUUUUAAUACACUUA